rnacentral:tRNA from 1 species
GGCGACGUAGCCAAGUGGUUAAGGCAGCGGUUUGCAAAACCGCCAUUCGUGGGUUCGAUUCCCACCGUCGCCU